rnacentral:lncRNA from 1 species
CAGUGAGGGGCUGCACCCUCUCAGCUCCCAGGGGUGGUCGAUAGAGAGAGAAGCAGUGGAUUAAAGUCAGUGGAAGCCUGGACAGUAGAGGAGAGGGGGAGCCUCAGGAGAAAGGCCUGGAUGCUGGAGCAACCAUCAGUAAUCUCUUCUACAACCCACGGGUCUUCAGUGUUGGAAAAUGAUCUGGGAAAGAAUGGAUGGAAUGUGAACAGACAUUUGUAAACAUUUUAUAAAUAAUUAAUAAAUACAUAAUCAUUACUCAUGCAGAAAAUAUGACAGUAGUGGUGUGACAGUUUACCUUCAUUAUCAGCUUGAUUGUC